AUGCUGCAGAGCGGCCGGUGUGCUCGGUGCCGACACUGGACACCUGUGCGGGGGCUGCAGAGAGGACGGUGCCACAAGCCCGGGCUGCCGCCGGUGCCGCUGACGACAGCUCCAGAGACACACGGACUGAUAUUUUAACGGAUUCUUCCUGAAUAAGAAUUGUUCCACCUACAACAGAUCAGUUCAAGGUUUCCAGAAAAUAAAGCUGUAACUACCAGUCUGUGGAUCAGAGGAAGAAUUUGUAAAAUGAAGAGUAUGACCUGCCGAACCAGGAAUGAUAUUGGAUAUACGGUGUACCUCAUUCUCAAG